rnacentral:rRNA from 1 species
UACGGGGGGAGCAAGCGUUGUUCGGAUUUACUGGGCGUAAAGGGCGCGUAGGCGGCCAGCACAAGUCAGUUGUGAAAUCUCCGAGCUUAACUCGGAAAGGUCAACUGAUACUGUGCGGCUAGAGUGCGGAAGGGGCAACUGGAAUUCUUGGUGUAGCGGUGAAAUGCGUAGAUAUCAAGAGGAACACCUGCGGCGAAGGCGGGUUGCUGGGCCGACACUGACGCUGAAGCGCGAAAGCCAGGGGAGCGAACGGG